rnacentral:misc_RNA from 1 species
AAUUUAAACACACCCAUGGGUUCAAAUACUAUGAAAUGUAUUGUGACACAAACGUUAGAGAUAAAUGACGCAGGGUGGUGUGGAUGGAAGACAAAUCAUUGCUCAAAGUUUGAAAAGAGUAUUCCUUAUGCAUUGUUGUCUCAAGUAGCAGGUUUGAAGGAAUACAUUGGAGCGAAUCCAGUUCUGAAAUCUACAUACACCACUACAGUUGUCCAUUCAAAAGUUUCGGAUGAUUGCACCUCCA